rnacentral:lncRNA from 1 species
ACUAUUCAUGCUAGCAUAAUUAAAUAUAUAUUUAAAAUGACUAUGAUUUAAGUAGAUUAGAUUAAUCAGAGUGGCAGCAGUCACUUAUAUUAAUGUCCACGGUAUUAUGGUGAGAGUUAUGAUACUCCCAGCUAGUCCAUGAUCAUACAAGUCUAUUAAAAAGCUUUCAAUUAAAACUGAGUCUCUGCUACAUAAAGAGUCUGGAAGCAUGUGGCACUAUUUUCCCAACCAGAUUCUCCCUGAACUGAGGCUAACUCUGGGUCUGGUUUAGACUGGUAGUAAAGAGGAGGAAAAACAGUUCUGGACAAGAAACCAGAAGACCUACUUUUUUGUUCUCAGCUCCUCCCUUAUCUAAUUGGGCCAUUUUGAUUUAUUAUUCCUUGAGAACAAUCUUGACUCCUUAGUGAUUAAGCGAAUAAGUAAUUAAUACAAGCCUUGAAGUGCUGUUCAAAGAAAGGUGGGGUUGGAAAUGGAACCAGAAAUUUCUGGAAAGUUUGAGACCAUCUAUAAAUCAAGAAUUUACCAACUUUGUCUAGAUUGUUUACACUGAAAUUUUUCUUUCCAAUGACACAAAAUUGGGCAAUGGAUUUGUUUGCUGAUCAUGUUGAUCUGGCCUAAGGUAAAAGGAAAACAGUAGAGAAAACAGAAAGUCCAGGGAGAGAAAUGUGGACAUAUUGCAAUCAUUGGAGCAGAUUUGUCACAUGUAUAAGUGGUCCCUCUUCUUUGUUUGAGAGGCACAACCUUGCCGCACUGUAGUCACACUUACAAGAGAAAGCCACACUGUUCCAUGGAGCCUUAAAUGAUAUCAUAUGACAGCCAGGGUUCUUUAUCGCAGAUGGCAAAGCACAUUCCAGCUAGUUUAAACAGGAAUGGAUUUACUAAGGCACAGAUGAUAAUUUAUGAUCCAUGGGGAAGGGUCAGGGAACCAGAUUUGUUUUUUAUGGUCAGGAAGAAAACGCCCAACCACAUCAUGAAACUCUUCUACGAGAACUGACCAUGCAGUUAUACUCAUUCCUAGGAACCUAUGGCUGGCCUGGAUGCCAAUAUUCUGCUAUGCUGUUCCGAAUAUCUGACUUCCGUUUGACCAGCUGCCACGUUAUGCAGAAAGCUCCAUCCCCAUGGAAAAUUCAAACAUCAGACAGCAGCACUGCCCUUCCCUGUGCACAUUAAGAGGCUGACCCACAUACUCAUGGAAGGAGGGUCGUCCCAUCUCUGCGCUGGAAUCCGGGAUGCUUUACCACAGAAAGAACUGUUAAUACACUAGCUUGGAUGACAAUUCAAUUAGCACGGAGUUCUUUGUAUAAAGCAAUCUAUUUGGACCUAAAAUAUUUUAAAAGUGUACACAUCUUCUCCAUAAGAAAAAUUCAGGAUUAGAUCAGAAUUCCUCCCGCUUCUCAGCGGUGCUGCAAGCUGAUUGGCCUACGUGGAGGAGUCGGCUACAAAGAGCAUUCCUAAGUAAGAGGCUGAGUUGACUUGUGGGAUGCAGUUAUUUAGUGGUAGUUUCCAUUUUAAAAUCUAAGAACUCC